rnacentral:rRNA from 1 species
CCUACGGGAGGCAGCAGUGAGGAAUAUUGGUCAAUGGCCGGAAGGCUGAACCAGCCAUGCCGCGUGAAGGUCAGUGCCCUAUGGGCGUUAAACUUCUUUUGUGCGGGAGCAAUAAUGGUCACGUGUGGCCAGACGAGAGUACCGUACGAAUAAGCAUCGGCUAACUCCGUGCCAGCAGCCGCGGUAAUACGGGGGAUGCAAGCGUUAUCCGGAUUUAUUGGGUUUAAAGGGUGCGUAGGCUGUGAGGUAAGUCAGCGGUGAAAUGCCCCCGCUCAACGGGGUGAAGUGCCAUUGAUACUGCCUGGCUGGAAUGCGGAUGCCGUGGGAGGAAUGUGUGGUGUAGCGGUGAAAUGCAUAGAUAUCAUACAGAACACCGAUUGCGAAGGCAUCUCACGAAUCCGCGAUUGACGCUGAUGCACGAAAGCGUGGGUAUCAAACAGGAUUAGAUACCCGUGUAGUC